AGUGAGGAAUAUUGGUCAAUGGAGGCAACUCUGAACCAGCCAUGCCGCGUGAAGGAAGACGGCCCUAUGGGUUGUAAACUUCUUUUUUACAGGAAUAAUGGUCAUUACGUGUAAUGAUUUGAAGGUACUGUAUGAAUAAGGACCGGCUAACUCCGUGCCAGCAGCCGCGGUAAUACGGAGGGUCCAGGCGUUAUCCGGAUUUAUUAGGUUUAAAGGGUGCGCAGGCGGACUAGUAAGUCAGUGGUGAAAGUUUGCAGCUUAACUGUAAAAUUGCCAUUGAUACUGUUAGUCUUGAAUGUGGUAGAGGUAGGCGGAAUGUGUAGUGUAGCGGUGAAAUGCUUAGAUAUUACACAGAACACCAAUUGCGAAGGCAGCUUACUAUGCCAUGAUUGACGCUGAGGCACGAAAGCGUGGGGAGCGAA
rnacentral:rRNA from 1 species